rnacentral:lncRNA from 1 species
UUCCCCACCGGAUAAGAAUUUAAAGCGUUAAAGAUUUGUAGCGACCCCAUUUUGCUCAGUUCUUAUUUUUUAGUCUCUGUCUCACAAUUCUCCAUGAUUCCGAACAAUGACCCCAUCUCUGGGCAGUCCUUCAUAGGAUGUGGUCUCUUUCACACAAAGCAUCCUCUCUUAAGCACAUCUUGUCUUGGUUGGUCGGGUAGUAUCAUGUCUCUCCCUUACCUUUGGUCACAACCUUCUCCUUCCUCUUAAAGGACUCGGAAGUACCUGAGGUGCGAAAGGCAGUCAAUGACUCGUCCAAUGCGAUAGCUUCAUCGACAUACUGCACUUCCUGUCGC